AUAAUACCUGGCAGGGGAGAUACCAUGAUUGUGAAGGUGGUUUUCCCAGGGUGAGGCUUAUCCAUUGCAAUUCGGAUGUACUGACUCUUGCAAUUUCCCCAAAUGUGGGAAACUCGACUGAAUAAUUUGUGGUAAUGGGGGACUGCGUUCACACUCUUCCCUG